rnacentral:rRNA from 1 species
GGUGAACGCUGGCGGUAGGCCUAACACAUGCAAGUCGAACGGCAGCACAGUAAGAGCUUGCUCUUACGGGUGGCGAGUGGCGGACGGGUGAGGAAUACAUCGGAAUCUACUUUUUCGUGGGGGAUAACGUAGGGAAACUUACGCUAAUACCGCAUACGACCUACGGGUGAAAGCAGGGGAUCUUCGGACCUUGCGCGAUUGAAUGAGCCGAUGUCGGAUUAGCUGGUUGGCGGGGUAAAGGCCCACCAAGGCGACGAUCCGUAGCUGGUCUGAGAGGAUGAUCAGCCACACUGGAACUGAGACACGGUCCAGACUCCUACGGGAGGCAGCAGUGGGGAAUAUUGGACAAUGGGCGCAAGCCUGAUCCAGCCAUACCGCGUGGGUGAAGAAGGCCUUCGGGUUGUAAAGCCCUUUUGUUGGGAAAGAAAAGCAGCAGGUUAAUACCCCGCUGUUCUGACGGUACCCAAAGAAUAAGCACCGGCUAACUUCGUG